rnacentral:misc_RNA from 1 species
GAAUUGCGAAAAUUAAUGUGAUUUGCACCAUCCGUGAAUCAUCGAGUCUUUGAACGCACAUUGCACCUGGCCCCGUGCCAGGUAUGCCUGGUUGAGUGUCGCCUGCAUCUUCCUCUCGGAGAGGGCUGGAGAGCUUUGCGCGAGCAACUCUCUGCAACGCAGCAGGACCGCGCCCAGCACCGCUGGAGAUGCGUGAACGUCGUAGCCUCUGUGCCUAGCGUUUAUCGUGUCUCGAGCGAGCUGCGGCUGCAGUCCGAGCAACACACACUCAAUCUUUGACCUCAACUCAGGCAAGACUACCCGCUGAACUUAA